rnacentral:rRNA from 1 species
UACGUAGGGUGCAAGCGUUAAUCGGAAUUACUGGGCGUAAAGCGUGCGCAGGCGGUUGUGCAAGACCGAUGUGAAAUCCCCGGGCUUAACCUGGGAAUGGCAUUGGUGACUGGACGGCUAGAGUGUGUCAUAGGGGGGUAGAAUUCCACGUGUAGCAGUGAAAUGCGUAGAGAUGUGGGGGAAUACCGAUGGCGAAGGCAGCCCCCUGGGAUAACACUGACGCUCAUGCACGAAAGCGUGGGGAGCAAACAGG